rnacentral:rRNA from 1 species
CCUACGGGGUGCAGCAGUGGGGAAUAUUGCACAAUGGGGGAAACCCUGAUGCAGCGACGCCGCGUGAGUGAUGAAGUUUUUCGGUAUGUAAAGUCCUAUCAGCAGAGAAGAAAAUGACGGUAUCUAACUAAUAAGCACCGGCUAACUACGUGCCAGCAGCCGCGGUAAUACGUAGGGGGCAAGCGUUACCCGGAUUUACUGGGGUUAAAGGGCGCGAAGGCGGGAGAGUAAGCCAGAUGUGAAACCCGAGGGCUAAACCCUAGGAAUGCUUUUGAAACUAUCAGUCUAGAGUAGUGGAGGGGUAGGCGGAAUUCCUGGUGUAGCGGUGAAAUGCGUAGAUAUUAGGAGGAACACCGAUGGCGAAGGCGACUUACUGGACAAAAACUGACACUGAGGCGCGAAAGCGUGGGGAGCAAACAGGAUUAGAUACCCGAGUAGUC